UUGAAAUCCAAUGUUUCACCGAGCCUCUGAAAUCAAUGUAGAGAUAAGAUUAAAUGAUAAACAUACAAUCAUGUCACCAUAAAAACUCUGACAAUUCAACCAAGAAGUAACAUCUGACUAAACAAGCUGUUAGCUUUAAUGUAAACUAGAAUCUGACAAACAAGAUAACACAAUUUUUAAAGGGAAAAAUAGAAUAAACAAGUUGUUAGCUUUAAUGUAAAUUAGAAUAUGAAAAACAAGAUAACACAAUUUAAUAGGAAAUCAGAAUGUUGGAUAAUAAAUUGACUCUUGUAUUGUGCAUCACUGAUAUGAAAAUCACUCAACAAAUAUACAUGAACAGAUUCAAUUAUCGAACAAGAAUAAAAGUAGCAAUAGAUGACAUAUAAUAGCUUGACGCCUUUUAUAAUUGGAAGAUUCCAACAGCUUAGAGUUAUAUUCAUCAAAAAACUGUAAUUAACCACAAAGAUAAUGAGCAACAACAAGUGGUAACUACGAUUAUCAUAGAAAGUAUCAUCCGCUACCAAAACAAACUUUAAAAAGUUGUAGCUUAAACUAGAUUCCAAGAUCAAGGCAAGUAAAAACACUUGAGUGGUUAAUAUUCAUAAAUAAAUGUGGUUAUGUAUAUGAGAUAAAGCCAAUACAAAAUAAAGCAUGUUAAGAUAAACAGAUAGACUUUCUAAUGCAAUCUAUGCAACUAACAGAAAGUAUUGCCCCUUCCCCAAAAAACCUUUUAAACUAGAUUCCAAUAACAGGGUGAGGAAAAACACUUCGGUUGUUAACAAUCAUAAACAAAUGUUGUCAUGCAUUUACAACUGUUCUUUGAAAUAAGUUUUAUUACACAAUAUUUUAAAAAUUAUUUUCUCCAAUAAUAAAUUUCUUAUAACUUAAACUUGAAAAAAACAAUUAUUCAUUUUUCAAACUCUCUCUGGAAAACAAUAACAUCAAUGUAAGUUACCCCAAAGAACUAAAAUCAUAAUCUAAAUGAGACUCCUUAGUACCAAACUACAUACUAUUACCAUUAAACCUUCACAAAUCAAGCAUUCCUCCAAUGAAUCUAACACCAAGAAACCCUAAACCCCAACCAGGUUGCGAUUUGUUGUGCCUCUCUCCACGAUUUCCUCUUCCCCUUCAAACAUGUACUAUGUUUAAUAUGGAUUGCUUAUAUCCUUACCUCAUGCUUCACGAUGACGGUAGAACUCCUCUUUGAUGGCUUCAUCACCAUAAAUGAUGAACGAUGGAAUGAGAAUUUACAGAUUGAGGAUGAGCAAUGAAGAACUUGACUAAGAGAAAUUAAGAUUUGCCUGUGAAAAAGUCUUCGACACUUACUAACAGUGGGACUGAAAU
rnacentral:lncRNA from 1 species